GUUUGGCUGAAGUUGCUGCAGCACAGCUGAUGUAUGCCUGAAGUUUAGUGUCACUUUUCUCGAGGAGAUCUGUGAAACAGAGUUGAACACAAAAGCAAUGUCUGUUCUGGCGCGUCGCUUUCACGCCAAGAGAGGUGUGAGGGAAGGUGAAGCGGAGGAGGAAUCACCUCCCUCCUUCUCCCGCUACCUCCCCAGCGCAAGCGGGCCUGGCGGGAGCGCCCGUGGCGGCCGGGGCGGCGGGGGCGGCUGAGGGACCCGUCCGGCCGGGCGCUACCAGCGAGGGGCGGCCCCCGCCCGAAGGAACAGGGGAGGCAGCUCCCUGUGGGCUUGGCUGAGGAGCUCCUGUCGCCCAGCGGAGCGGUCACACACCGGAGCGGUGAGGGACAGAGGAGAGGGCCGGGGCUAACAAAGCCAGACCGCCUCCCUGCCUCCAUUCCAGCGCGGCUCCCGGCCGCCCCCCGCGGGUUUCCCGCGGCCGCCAAGCGGGAACGAGCCCGGGGCGAGGCGCCCGGACCCGAGUGAGGGAAGAGGCCCGGUUUCUGCGGGGCAGACGGGCCGCAGAGCGCUGGUGGAGUCCGCCGGGCGGCGGAGGCGGCCGGGCGGGCGGAGGACGGAGCGGGGAUGCCCGCGGCCCUCCUGCCGCCGCCGGGCUGUGCGCGGGCGCCGCAGCCGUAGCCGUGCCUGCGGCAGGCGGCGGCCAUCGCGGGCUCGCCGCCCCCGUGCGCCCCUCCGAGGACGGAGGGGUGGGGGCAGAGGAGGCGGAGGAAGCGGCGGCGGCGGCGGCGCCAGGAACAGGGAGGCGGCGGCACGGCGAGGGAGGGAGCCAGAGCCGAAGCCGGGCCGGGCCCCGCGAAAGCAACAGCAGAGCCAGCUCCUCCUUCUCCUCCUCCUCGAUUGUGAAGUUGGUCAGUAACCUUGGCUUACUCUUGGAGAGGGAUGGUUUGAAGAAAUGGUAACUGGUUCUUACUGUUCUGUGAGUAGAUUACAACUUCUGACUCUCCUUAACAUAAUUAAUUGGUAGAGUGAGAGUGAACUCUUAACAAAAAGUUGUUCGUACAAAGCAAGUUAAUUAUUUCUGCUCUUUCUUAUUAAUUUUUUUAUAGUCUUACAGUAAUUCAAACACGAACAGUUGUAGGACUUCAUUUGGUAGGGCUGCCCUGAGUUCACCACAUAUUUCCUAUGCUAUUGUUGGCAAAACUGGGGCCAUAGUCCAGGCUAAUCCCUAACUCAAGUGCCUUUUUCUCUCUUUCUUUAUGGCCCUCUUGGGCCUACACAGCACUAGUUUAGCAGUGUUUGGGUAGUACAAUGCAAUAACAUAACAUAGAUAGGGAGGACGCUGUUCUCAGCUGGUGUGUGCCUCAGUGUUUUCGUGAUAGGGCUUUGAUGUGUAUUAGCCACAAAUUAGAGAGGGUGGCUCAAGCAGUUCUGAUGCUCCAAGGAAGAAAAUAAGAUACAAAUAAUAUUAAAGGGAAUGUAAUACAGAUGCUAAAAUGGCUUGAAUAUAAAUUGGGUAGGAAGAAAAACAGAACAGAGAUAGAUAUCUUAUGCCAUGUAACUGUAUAUUUUGUGCUGCAAAGUAUUAAACUAAGAGCAAAUACAGAACUUUGAGUUAGAACGCUCUUUUAUGUUUUUUAUUUUCCAGAAAAUAAAUAAUUAUAUCUGUAAUAUUCCUUGGCCUUA
rnacentral:lncRNA from 1 species